CGAGCAGGUCCCAGGUAGCCCCGGGCUGGGGGCUAGGACAUUGCAGGGCGCUGCUGCCUCCCUCCGCUGGGAGCCAGGGCUGAGCAGCCGCUGCUCCCACGGGGCUGUGCCCCCGGGAGACCUUCGGUGCAGCUGCUUCUGCGCCCGGUCAGAGGGGGCUUCCUCUGUGGGGCUGGGACUAGCCCCCGGGCCCGGCUCUGCCGGCACCAGCUCCGGGCCGGAGACCCAGACUGCAGAAUAACAUCCACAUUUUGCUCCGGAUCGUCUCAUCCUCCCAGGGGAAAGGAAAUGGCGUCAGUGGAGCCAGCUCAGGGGCCGGUGACCUUUGAGGAGCUGGCUGUGUACUUCACGGAGGGGGAAUGGGCUCUGCUAGACCCUGUUCAGAGAGCCCUCUACCGGGAGGUCAUGCAGGAGAACUAUGCCACUGUGGCCUCAUUGGGUAAGGAUUCCUGUUCCCUGGUUAUUAGAAGCUGUGGGGUCUCUACAGUACCCAAGUAGUAAUAACUCUAGGCCUUUACUUAGCUUGUAAUUUUUGGCAGGCUUCCAUGCCUCACUUUUUG